AAGAUUAUACUUUCCAGGAUCAUUUCUAUAGAAUGUGACUAGAGAAUUUUCUCUGUUCGUGUAGAGCACCCGAAGCCACGAGGAGGAGCCAGAGCAUCCUCUCCUGAGCAUGAAGCCGACUCUAGGUAUCACUUCUGCGGCUGCCUUUGGCCAUUGAUGAUCGUUCUCCCCUUCCUUUAGAAGGGGUAAAGGGAGAGGAUGCAGUCUGAGUCGU